UCAGAAACGUUACCACGCCAGCUCAGCAGCCAGAAGAGACACCAGCAGGAUGCUGGCCGGCUAGCGGCGAGCGGCUGCGGCUGGCUGAGGCUGCGCAGCGCCCAGGCAGACGCGGCCACCAUGCGGCCCCGCGCGCUCGCCUCGCUCAUCGCGGUGGUGUCGCUGGCCGCCUGCCUGACGGCGCCGUCCCAGACCAGCGCGAUGCACUCCUCCAGGCCAGGCGGC